UACGUAGGGCAAGCGUUGUCCGGAUUUAUUGGGCGUAAAGAGCGUGUAGGCGGUUUGGUAGGUCCGUUGUGAAAACUCGAGGCUCAACCUCGAGACGCCGAUGGAAACCAUCAGACUAGAGUCCGGAAGAGGAGAGUGGAAUUCCUGGUGUAGCGGUGAAAUGCGCAGAUAUCAGGAGGAACACCAAUGGCGAAGGCAGCUCGCUGGGACGGUACUGACGCUGAGACGCGAAAGCGUGGGGAGCAAACAGG
rnacentral:rRNA from 1 species